rnacentral:misc_RNA from 1 species
UGGAAGUAAAAGUCGUAACAAGGUUCCGUAGGUGAACCUGCGGAAGGAUCAUUAAAAAAUGUGGUACCGAUUAUUGGUACUAAAUUAAUCAUCCUACCCUUUGUGAAUUUGUUUGUAACGAAUUUUUUUAAAUGGGUCUUUCCCUAAGUUGGAUUGUAGUAAAAUACAAAAAGACUUAGGGGAAUGACUUUUUUAAAAGACUUUUUUUAAAUUAAAACUUUUUGUAUUCAUUUGUCUAAAAUUUAUUUUUAUAAUAUAAAAACAACUUUUGACAAUGGAUCUCUUGGUUCUCGCAACGAUGAAGAACGCAGCAAAAUGCGAUAAGUAGUGUGAAUUGCAGAAUACGUGAAUCAUCGAAUCUUCGAACGCAUAUUGCACUUUUUUAGUCUACUAAAAAAGUAUGUCUGUUUGAGUAUCAGUAAAAUAUUCUCACAAACAUAUAUUGUUUGUGGUAUGAGUGUUUUACAACGAUAAACAAGUUGUUUCACUUUAAAUUCUUUUUUAAGUUGAAUUUUUACCAAUUCAUAAAUUAAAAUUGGAUAAAAUUUUCCUUUAACGAGGAAUAACCUAAACAAUUUUAAAUUUUAUGGAUUAUAAACAUCAUCAAAGGAAUCUAUACAUAAAUAACUUGAUCUCAAAUCAGAUAAGAGUACCCGCUGAACUUAAGCAUAUCAAUAAGCGGAGGAAAAGAAACUAACAAGGAUUCCCUUAGUAACGGCGAGUGAAGCGGGAAGAGCUCAAAUUUGAAAUCUUCAAGGUUUGACCUUGACGAAUUGUAGUUUAUAGAAGUGUUUUCUGUUGGAGUUUUGGUAAAAGUUCUUUGGAAUAGGACAUCAUAGAGGGUGAGAAUCCCGUAUUUGACCAUGACUUUCCAGCUGUGUGAUACACUUUCAAAGAGUCGGAUUGUUUGGGAAUGCAGUCCAAAAUGGGUGGUAAAUUUCAUCUAAAGCUAAAUAUUGGCGAGAGACCGAUAGCGAACAAGUACCGUGAGGGAAAGAUGAAAGAACUUUGAAAAGAGAGUUAAACAGUACGUGAAAUUGUCAAAAGGGAGCGUUUGACACCAGUGUUGUUUUCUCGAAAAUCAAUUUAAUGAGUUCUUGUUUUUAAGUUAUUGUGACUUUAACAGCGCAUUUCUUAUUUUACUUGACUCAUUGAAUGCACUUUUCGUUUAACAAGUCAACAUCAAUUUCUUUGGUGGUAAAAAGUUUAAAGGAAGGUGGCUUGGACUUCGGUUCAGUGUUUAUAGCCUUUUUUCUAUGCCAUCGGAGAGAUUGAGGUCUGCAGCGUAGAUCCUUCGGGGUUAGAUACCUUUGUGCUAAGUUAUAGUUUUUUAUAGACAACUUGUUGACUAUAAUUAACCCUGUAAUUUACUCGCUUAGGCUAUUUACCUACGCUUAGGAUGUGAG